AAUGAAUAGUCUGCACUGUUCAAUCUCUACCGAAUUCGUGUACGGUUUAGACUAUUCAUUUU
rnacentral:pre_miRNA from 1 species